rnacentral:lncRNA from 1 species
UGGCUUGCAGUGGUGUGUGUAUAAUUUUGAGAAGAAACCCAAGGCCACAUCAUUACUUGCUGUGUAAAUAAGCAAAGCUUCCCUGAUGGGAUGGAAGCCUGCAGAUGUACAGUAGCUGAGGAUCUUGCCUUGUGGUCUAACUUCACUCAGCUACAAGAGAGCUGCUUAGAAUUUCCCUUCUGAUGUUAACAGAAAACAUAGAGAAAACAGAGAUUUUGUGGCUUUUAUUUUCUGGAUAUAAUAUUUCAAGCAAGCAUGGAAAAAUUCUCUGCACUUUCCAAACAGCCUUCGAGUAUGGGUGUGUUUGUCACUGACCACUCAAUAGCACUGAACACAAUGUCCAACAUGACUACCUUUGUGCUUCGGGGAAUUCAGACCAUCUCAUUUUAUUAAUUGCAGUUCUCUGUCAUCAGCAGCAGACUGGAUCGAAGAACUAUAGGACAAAGAAUGGCUUUUGCUACACAAGUCUACUGUAUACUUAUGGAAAACAGAGUGCUGGAACAGAAGACAACUGGAAAGAGUACACGUGGAGUCUGUAUUCCAUGUUCCUCUGGUUACCCAAGGCUGGAUUAAAUCACACUGAGAGCAAGGCAGAGGCUGUGUGUGUGUGUGUAAAGCUGUGUGGCAAUUGGCCCUGUAGUGAUAGCAAAUCAUGUAUUUAUCUAUUGAGAUACAGAUAUAUUAAAAACUGGAAGGAGGUUCUGCAACCUUUAAAUCCUUUCAUGUCACUUUAUGUUCCUGCUGUUAAGCUUUUGCUAUGUUAAUGUCAUCCUGGGCUGGUAAUAUUUACAGUACCUAAAUCAAUGUUGAGGACACACGGAAUAUUGCAGGAUCAACUCUACUUAUUUCAAAUGCACUUUAAUAUUUUGACUGCCUGACCAGAGUUUGGGAAAUAACUGUGGUAGAAUGAUAAUGAGAAGUUUAACAGUUUUAUGAUGGUUGAAGCGGACUUUAUGGAAGUUGAUAAAUUUCAUCUUGUAGGUUUCAAUUUCUCAUUCCCUACAGAGAGAUGGGGAGAAUACAUUGAUACUGCAUUUCAAAUUGGCUAGAUCAGAAGGAACAGCAGCUAAAAUCCAUUACAACCCAAUUACAUCUAUCAGCUGAAGCUGUGUGCAUUCAUUCGUGAACAUCAGCAUUUAAUCCAUAAAGAGGAACUAAUGAGAAAUUUGAAAAUGGAAUCCAUGCAUCAGUAACUUUGGAGAGAUUUUGCUGGGAUUAAUGAACUGCCAGAACAUUGUCAACACACUGAAAACCUAUUCUCUCUAGGUUUGUUUACUGACCAAAGAAAGAUUUUUUUUUUCUGUUCUCCCUACUCUACAGCAUGUUUUUGUCUUAUUGGUAGUUCCUUUUUUUUUACAUUCUUGGUGAAGAAAGUGACACUUUAUUCACUUGAAGGAUCAAAUGCUUGUUUCUUUUCCAUCCUGUGUGCAUCUGGCUGGAUGCUUGGCUAGCUUCUGCAGUCAGAUAUGCUGCAGAUGAACCUCUACUGCAUCACUACCUCUGCAAAAAUGGUCUCUUGCAUAGGUCUACAAAAGACAAAGGCACAUGGGCUAGACCAUAUUUUGUAACACAGAAAGAAAACCAAGGUAUCAGCGAUGAAAUUUUAUGGAAAGUUGUUGAAGAGUUGCUGGUGUUCAUUUGUAAGUUCACCUUUAAGAUUCCUUUGUAAAAUGCUCUGCUAGCUAAUGGAUUUUCUGAUUCUCUAGAGCUACCAGUCGGUAUCUUUCCAGAGUUGUGGAUAAAAAUGAGCCCACAGGAAAGCUG